ensembl:lncRNA
GUCACUCUCACAGACACACGCACACAGUCACUCUCACAGACACACGCACACAGUCACUCUCACAGACACACGCACACAGUCACUCUCACAGACACAGUCACUCACAGACUCACAGACACAAUCACUCUCACAGACACACAGACAGUCACUCUCACAGACACCCAGACACACACACAGUCACUCUCAGACACACACACACAGUCGCUCUCACAGACACACACAGUCGCUCUCACAGACACACACAGUCGCUCUCACAGACACACAGUCGCUCUCACACACACACAGUCGCUCUCACAGACACACAGUCGCUCUCACAGACACACAGUCGCUCUCAGACACACACAGUCGCUCUCACAGACACACACAGUCGCUCUCUCACACACACAGUCGCUCUCUCACACACACAGUCGCUCUCACAGACACACACACACACACAGAGGUACUCUCUCACACACACACACAGAGGUACUCUCUCUCACACACACACAGAGGUACUCUCUCACACACACACACAGAGGUACUCUCUCUCACACACACACAGAGGUACUCUCUCUCACACACACACAGAGGUAGAGAGGUACUCUCUCUCACACACACACACAGAGGUACUCUCUCUCACACACACACACAGAGGUACUCUCUCUCUCACACACACACAGAGGUACUCUCUCUCUCACACACACACAGAGGUACUCUCUCUCUCACACACACACAGAGGUACUCUCUCUCUCACACACACACAGAGGUACUCUCUCUCACACACACACACACACACAGAGGUACUCUCUCUCUCACACACACACACACAGAGGUACUCUCUCACGGACACACACAGAGGUAGUCUCACGGACACACACACAGGUACUCUCACGGACACACACAGAGGUACUCUCACAGUCGCGCGUGCACACAGAGACAGACGGACAGUCGCGCACAGACACAGACAGUCGCGCACAGACACAGACAGUCGCGCACAGACACAGACAGUCGCGCACAGACACAGACAGUCGCGCACAGACACAGACAGUCGCACAGACACACAGUCACUCGCACAGACACACACAGUCACUCGCACAGACACACACAGUCACUCGCAGACAGCACACACAGUCACUCGCACAGACACACAGUCACUCGCACAGACACACACAGUCACUCGCACAGACACACAGUCACUCGCACAGACACACACAGUCACUCGCACAGACACACAGUCACUCGCACAGACACACAGUCACUCGCACAGACACACACAGUCACUCGCACAGACACACACAGUCACUCGCACAGACACACACAGUCACUCGCACAGACACACACAGUCACUCGCACAGACACACACAGUCACUCGCACAGACACACACAGUCACUCGCACAGACACACACAGUCACUCUCACACAGUCACUCUCACAGACACACAGUCACUCUCACACAGUCACUCUCACAGACACACACACACACACACACAGAGGUCACUCUCACAGACACACAGUCACUCUCACACACACAGUCACUCUCACAGACACAGACACACAGUCACACACACACACAGAGGUACUCUCACAGACACACACACACACACACACACAGUCACACAGUCACAGACACAGUCACAGUCACUCACACAGGUACACACAGUCACUCACACACACACACAGUCACUCUCACACACACACACAGUCACUCUCACACACACACACAGUCACUCUCACACACACACACAGUCACUCUCACACACACAGUCACUCUCACACACACACACAGUCACUCUCACACACAGUCACUCCCACAGACACACAGACACACAGUCACACAGUCACACACACACACAGAGGUACUCUCACGGACACACACACACACAGUCACUCACAGACACAGACACACAGUCAGUCAGUCAGUCACUCUCUCUCACACAAACGGUCACUCACACACACACACACACACACACACACACACACACACACACACACACACACACACACACACACACACACACACACAGGUACUCUCACAGUCGCGCGUGCACACACACGCAGACAGUCGCGCGUGCACACAGAGACAGACGGACAGUCGCGCGCGCACGCACAGAGACAGACGGACAGUCGCGCGCGCGCACGCACAGAGACAGAAGGACAGGCGCGCGCGCACACAGGCGCGGACAGGCGCGCGGGCGCGGACAGUCGCGGACAGUCGCGGACAGUCGCGCGCGGACACGCAGUCACUCUCACAGACGCGCACACACACAGUCACUCUCACACUCUCACAGACACACACAGACACACACAGACACACACAGCCAGGCAGUCACUCUCACACAGACGGUCACUCUCACACACACAGAGGUACUCUCACAGUCGCGUGCGCACACACAGUCGCGUGUCGUGGGCACACAGAGACAGACGGACAGUCGCGAGCGUGCGCACACAGAGACAGGCACACACAGCCAGGCGCGUGCGCACGCGCACACACACACACACACACACACACACAGCCAGGCAUGCGCGCGCAGACACAGACACAGUCACAGACACAGGACAGUCAGACCCCCCUCCACUGUCACACUCUGUCUCUCUGUAGUGAUGAUCGAGCACCCCAGUGCCCCUCAAUUGAAGACGUUAACCCUAGAGCUAAGCAAAGAAUAGCCACGGACCCCACCCCCUUCCCAAAGACUUAGGACAGGAUAGGGCGGGCUUUAGGCAGGAAGAGGAUUCUGUGACUGACUGAAACAUUUGAUUACUUUUUCCUUUUUUUCCCCUUUUCACUUCUCUUGAGUGGAGUUAUUGAUUUGUAUGUAUCUAUAAACAAAAAGGAAAUUUGUACAAAAUAUACUUAUACCGCAAAACUCGUACAUAAAGAAGUAUACAAUUGUUUUGCAAUUUUGCUCUAAUUCAGGGGAGAGCAAAAUAAAAAGCAACCUGAAGUUGGAGGAAAAUACCUCCGGGUAUUGUAAUGGAAUAUCUCUACUGUAGCCCUGUUCCCCAGAGGACAUUAAAUCCUGCUGCACAAGUGAUGUCACGUCCUGUGGAAGGGCGGGUAGUGAUGUCUCUGUUGGGAUAUCCAACAAAGUAGUUGACAGGUGAAUAUCACCUGAAUUCUUCAACACCAGAACAGUCAAACUCAAACAAACCUAUAUUUGGAAAUGCUCAGUGCUAUCUGGGAUCCUUGGGACGUGCCUACCCUUAACCCUAAUCUUAAACAUAACCCUUACCUAUUUUAAAUGUCUACUUCAAUGGGGGGGUAUUGACGUCCCAAGGAUUCCGGCUUGCACAGACCAAUUGCCAAAUCUGGGAUUUUUUGGGGGUUUCUCUUUUUAAAUUCUCCCAUUCUUUUAAAAAUGUACUUUAUGUUGAAAUUGAAAAAUAUCUACUUGGCUUGUUCUGGUCCAGGCUGUGGAGCUUCCAGAUUUGCCAUUUUUACUUUUAUGAUUUCGUUUUAUGCACACGUCUGAGAGGUAGUUUUUUUUCUCUCUUCCUGCGGAAAGAGACAGAUACUGAAGACGGGAGUGAGGAUAGAACACGACCUCUGACCUUUGCAGAACUUAACUUUUUUUGUGGUUUUUAUUUUAUUUUGUCACAUCAACAACCUGAAUAAUUGUACAAAAUGCAAUGUGUAUCUCUUAAACAAGUCUCUUGAGAAUAUACAAAUAUAUAUUUCCAUAAUGCCUGUACAAAGCUGCUGCAGCUGACAAGUCAUUGUUGGAACUGGACUCACUCUGCAGAACGAUAACCUACAUACUAUCAAAGACGGACGGAUGGGGUGUUCAGUUUUAAAAAAUGUGUUUUGUCUUUAUUUUUAAACAUUCAUAUGUAUUAUGAUGACAUGCUGAUGAACCUGCUUGUCUAUCUGCAGGGACUAACUGUCAUUUUACCAUCCCAGAGCCGUCCCAGUUGGUCUCCAGGACCUAGGUCUCUGGUCUGGACUUGUUUCCCUCUGUUUAUGACCUGUUCAAACAGUGCACAGCAAAAGCAGGGAAGUUGUUAUUUUCAAUGGAAGCCUGGCAGCAGUAGCAAUGAGGCAUUUCUAGGUGAAGUCUCACCCACGAAAAGUAGGUCCGGUCAUCUGGUCACUACUGUAGAUGGUCAAAUAAGUUGCUACGCUGCCACCACAAGGCAUAAUACUCUUUUGCAGCUGUGUGUUUGAAUGGGCCAUUAGGCUGCUAACUACUGAUAGACAGUGGGUGGGGGGAGGCAGGAGUGGGUUUGGAUUAGGGGAUGAGGUGGGAAAGGGUCUAGUUCAUUGCUAAUGAACAAAACCUUGGGGGGUGUACAGUCAUGAACUAUCCGCCUAGACGGACCGAGCCACUUUAAAGAAUUACAAUUUCUUUGUCUUGUAUCGGAAAACGAUACAAGCUUAUGUUACUUGCAAGAUUUUUACUUGCCGGAGAAAAGUUGUUUUAAAAUAAGAGAAUAGAGAGAAAUAGCAACAGACUGCGUUUUGGCCUCCAAUGUUUAUAUCUUUUUUAUACAUUUUGAUUGAAUUCUUCUCUUUAAGGUGGCUCACUGAUACUUUCAACUCUUGUGCAUAUUAAAAAAUUGAGAAUGAGUUGAAAUUCAUUGACAUUGUGCCUUUUUGUUUUUCAUUUCUACGAAACAAACAAGUUUUUUCUCAGAUGUGUUGUGAACAACAAAAAAAUGCUAGAAGCUGUUGGCGCAUCUGAAAUAGGUGUGUGUGUGAUGUCUCCCUAAUUACUGGAGUUUGCCAUGGGAUUAGUCAAUGCUGCUCUCUGCUGUAGUGAUGGUUCUACUCCUAUAUUUUAUUGGCUGAGCCAUAGAGAUCCUAUUAAUAUUCUAAUUCCUAAUUCUAUGGGCUGAGCAUUGUAACCCAUUAUGACAUAUCCACCCAUACCUACAUUCACCACAAACAAACCCAUCAAUGCCACAUUCUGCUAACCAAUAAUGGGAUUAUGAUAUCACUUCCUCCCAUCUCGCCCUCAGGACAUGGUCUCUGUAUUACUGAUCCUAACCAAAAUAAACUUCCUGUUAGCCGUUGGAUCCUCG